rnacentral:rRNA from 1 species
CGACGGGUAGCCGGCCUGAGAGGGCGACCGGCCACACUGGGACUGAGACACGGCCCAGACUCCUACGGGAGGCAGCAGUGGGGAAUAUUGGGCAAUGGAGGAAACUCUGACCCAGCGACGCCGCGUGCGGGAUGAAGGCCUUCGGGUUGUAAACCGCUUUCAGUAGGGAAGAAGCGAAAGUGACGGUACCUACAAAAGAAGCACCGGCUAACUAUGUGCCAGCAGCCGCGGUAAUACAUAGGGUGCAAGCGUUGUCCGGAAUUAUUGGGCGUAAAGAGCUCGUAGGUCGUUUGUUACGUCGGAUGUGAAAACCUGAGGCUCAACCUCAGGCCUGCAUUCGAUACGGGCAAACUAGAGUUUGGUAGGGGAGACUGGAAUUCCUGGUGUAGCGGUGGAAUGCGCAGAUAUCAGGAGGAACACCAAUGGCGAAGGCAGGUCUCUGGGCCAAUACUGACACUGAGGAGCGAAAGUCUGGGGAGCGAACAGGAUUAGAUACCCUGGUAGUCCAGACCGUAAACGGUGGGCACUAGUUGUGGGAACCUUCCACGGUUUCUGCGACGCAGCUAACGCAUUAAGUGCCCCGCCUGGGGAGUACGAUCGCAAGAUUAAAACUCAAAGGAAUUGACGGGGCCCCGCACAAGCAGCGGAGCAUGCGGCUUAAUUCGACGCAACGCGAAGAACCUUACCAAGGCUUGACAUAUAGGGAAAAGUGGCAGAGAUGUCAUGUCCGCAAGGGCUCUAUACAGGUGGUGCAUGGUUGUCGUCAGCUCGUGUCGUGAGAUGUUGGGUUAAGUCCCGCAACGAGCGCAACCCUCGUUCUGUGUUGCCAGCAUUUAGUUGGGGACUCACAGGAGACUGCCGGGGUUAACUCGGAGGAAGGUGGGGAUGACGUCAAAUCAUCAUGCCCCUUAUGUCUUGGGCUGCACGCAUGCUACAAUGGCCGGUACAGAGGGCUGCAAUACCGUAAGGUGGAGCGAAUCCCAAAAAGCCGGUCUCAGUUCGGAUUGAGGUCUGCAACUCGACCUCAUGAAGUUGGAGUUGCUAGUAAUCGUAGAUCAGCAACGCUACGGUGAAUACGUUCCCGGGGCUUGUACACACCGCCCGUCACGUCACGAAAGUCGGUAACACCC